rnacentral:rRNA from 1 species
UGUUGCCUCGGCGGGGUCACGCCCCGGGUGCGUCGCAGCCCCGGAACCAGGCGCCCGCCGGAGGGACCAACCAAACUCUUUCUGUAGUCCCCUCGCGGACGUUAUUUCUUACAGCUCUGAGCAAAAAUUCAAAAUGAAUCAAAACUUUCAACAACGGAUCUCUUGGUUCUGGCAUCGAUGAAGAACGCAGCGAAAUGCGAUAAGUAAUGUGAAUUGCAGAAUUCAGUGAAUCAUCGAAUCUUUGAACGCACAUUGCGCCCGCCAGUAUUCUGGCGGGCAUGCCUGUCCGAGCGUCAUUUCAACCCUCGAACCCCUCCGGGGGGUCGGCGUUGGGGAUCGGGAACCCCUAAGACGGGAUCCCGGCCCCGAAAUACAGUGGCGGUCUCGCCGCAGCCUCUCCUGCGCAGUAGUUUGCACAACUCGCACCGGGAGCGCGGCGCGUCCACGUCCGUAAAACACCCAACUUCUGAAAUGUUGACCUCGGAUCAGGUAGGAAUACCCGCUGAACUUAAGCAUAUCAAUAAGCGGA